rnacentral:lncRNA from 1 species
CUGCCAUGUAAAUAAGAUGUGCCUUUGCUUCUCCUUUGCCUUCUGCCAUGAUUGUGAGGCCUCCCCACCCGUGUGGAACUUUGGAGUUUUGUGACAAGUUCUGACAAUGGCCUGAGUAAAAAUGAUAUCUGUACCUUCUGAGACAAAAUAUUUUGUGCUAAAGCAAAAUCCUCCAGAACUCCCUUCCUCUUCAGGGGCAACAGAUCUUGCUAGCAGGACCUCUUCAAGGAGAACUACAAACCACUGCUCAGUGAAAUAAAAGAGGAUACAAACAAAUGGAAGAACAUUCCAUGCUCAUGGGUAGGAAGAAUCAAUAUCAUGAAAUUGGCCAUACUGCCCAAGGUAAUUUAUAGAUUCAAUGCCACCCCCAGCAAGCUGCCAAUGACUUUCUUCACAGAAUUGGAAAAAACUACUUUAAAGUUCAUAUGGAAUCAAAAAACAGCCUGCAUUGCCAAGUCAAUCCUAAGCCAAAAGAACAAAGCUGGAGGCAUCACUCUACCUGAUUUCAAACUCUACUACAAGGCUACAGUAACCAAAAC